rnacentral:ncRNA from 1 species
UUGGACGUAAAAAAAGAGAGUAGGACAGAAAUAAUAUUUUCAAAAUUUAUUUCGUUGUACCCCCAACUCGCUUAGCUUGUAGAAUUUCUUUAGGAAAUUCUUUUUGCUGUGGCCCCGCCCACCAGGCAAGGAUGACUAGAAUUAAAAAAGCUUGUUACAAGUGCAUUUUUAAAUCAGUCAACUACUGCCAAUAUAUAUUUAUAGCCUGAGUCAUUGAAUUAU